rnacentral:rRNA from 1 species
UGAGUAACCUGCCCUUCACUCUGGGAUAACUCCGGGGAAACCGGGGCUAAUACUGGAUAUGACUCGAACAGGCAUCUGUAUCGGGUGGAAAGUAUUUAUCGGUGGAGGAUGGACUCGCGGCCUAUCAGCUUGUUGGUGAGGUAAUGGCUCACCAAGGCGACGACGGGUAGCCGGCCUGAGAGGGUCGACCGGCCACACUGGGACUGAGACACGGCCCAGACCUCCGUACGGGGAGCA